rnacentral:rRNA from 1 species
CGCCUGUUUAUCAAAAACAUCGCCACAGGAAACCACUAUCUGAGGUCCAUCCUGCCCAGUGACAUAAUAGUUUAACGGCCGCGGUACCCUGACCGUGCUAAGGUAGCAUAAUCAUUUGCCUUUUAAUUGGAGGCUAGUAUGAAUGGAUACACGAGGGUAUAGUUGUCUCCUUUAUGGCCCUGUAAAUUAUCCUUUAGGUGAAGAGACCUAAAUACUAUAAAAAGACGAAAAGACCCUAUGGAGCUUUACUUAACUUUCUUCCACACAUAGUACAAAAACAUGUAUAAAAGAGAAAAAGUUCAGUUGGGGCGACUAAGGAGCACAAAAAAACCUCCUCUUAUUACAUCGGACCUGCUCCCCACAAAGAUCCACACCCGUGAAUAUAGAUCCAGCUACCCUAGGGAUAACAGGCUAAUCCUCCUCGAGAGCCCAAAUUGACAGGAGGGGUUGGCACCUCGAUGUUGGCUUAAGGUCCCUCCAAGGUGCAGCUGCUUUGGAAGUAGGUUUGUUCACCCUUUAAAACCUUACGUGAUCUGAGUUCAGACCGG